rnacentral:misc_RNA from 1 species
AAAGUGUUCUGAGCGCGUGAUUAGACAUGAGGAAGAGCAGAAUUCUUUUUUGACCAGAAGAUGCGUAAAGGUUCAGAAGCAAGGAAUUGGGGUUGGGAGGUGUGUGGACCUGACAAAGUUUAAUGGCUAUGAUGAAUUCAUGGCAGAACUUGAUCAGAUUUUUGAAUUCAAUGGUGAAUUAAUCGCUUCAAACAAAAACUGGUUGGUCGUUUUCACUGAUGACGAGGGUGACAUGAUGCUUGUGGGAGAUGAUCCCUGGCAGGAAUUCUGUAGCAUGGUCCACGGGAUCUUUGUCUACACGCGAGAGGAGAUAAACAGGAUGAAUUCACGAUCCCUAAUUACGUAUUUGGAAGAAAAUUCAUCGAUUGCAGACCAUAUAGCUGGAAAGAUAGAUCAAAAGCAUCUUCCUACUGUGAGCACCACCUAGAAUAGGAAAAAAGGUUAGAAAGGCAUCUUCUUGGGCAGUGCAGGAUCAUAGUUUGAGAAACUUCUGAAAGUUUUGGCACAACACUAGAAACUUGCUAUGAAAUCUGAAUGGCCAAUUUAUAACUAGGGGACUUGAAGACAAUAUAAAUUGUCG